UACGUAGGGUGCAAGCGUUGCCCGGAUUUAUUGGGCGUAAAGGGCGCGUAGGCGGUCACGCACGUCCGUUGUGAAAUCUCCCGGCUCAACUGGGAGGCGUCGUUCAAUACUACCGGACUUGAGGGCAUCAGAGGAAGGUGGAAUUCCCGGUGUAGUGGUGAAAUGCGUAGAUAUCGGGAGGAACAUCAGUGGCGAAGGCGGCCAUCUGGGACAACACUGACGCUGAAGCACGAAAGCGUGGGGAGCAAACAGG
rnacentral:rRNA from 1 species